rfam:Picea glauca, whole genome shotgun sequence.
AAAAUGGUGUCUUUAGACACCACUGAUAUUAUUUGGAGUAUUAUUU